GACGAACGCUGGCGGCGUGCUUAACACAUGCAAGUCGAACGAAGUGGCGCACGGGUGAGUAACGCGGAAUCAACCUGCCCUUCAGAGGGGGACAACAGUUGGACACGACUGCUCAUACCGCAUACUGAAGGAGGGGAUUGCGUCUGAUUAGCUGGUUGGAGGGGUAACGGCCCACCAAGGCGAUGAUCAUGAGGCGGUCUGAGGGGGUGAACGGCCAAAAUGGGACUGAGACACGGCCCAGACGCCUACGGGAGGCAGCAGUGGGGAAUCUUCCGAAAUGGACGAAAGUCUGACGGAGCAACGCCGCGUGAGUGAAGAAGGCCUUCGGGUUGUAAAGCUCUGUUAAUCGGGACGCGGUACCGGAAUAGAAAGCCACGGCUAACUACGUGCCAGCAGCCGCGGUAAUAC
rnacentral:rRNA from 1 species